CUCCUACGGGAGGCAGCAGUGAGGAAUAUUGGACAAUGGUCGGAAGACUGAUCCAGCCAUGCCGCGUGCAGGAUGAAGGUCCUAUGGAUUGUAAACUGCUUUUGUAAGGGAAGAAUAAGGGGUACGUGUACUUUGAUGACGGUACCUUACGAAUAAGCAUCGGCUAACUCCGUGCCAGCAGCCGCGGUAAUACGGAGGAUGCGAGCGUUAUCCGGAAUCAUUGGGUUUAAAGGGUCCGUAGGCGGGCUGAUAAGUCAGAGGUGAAAUCGUUCAGCUCAACUGAGCAACUGCCUUUGAAACUGUCAGUCUUGAAUGAUUGUGAAGUAGUUGGAAUGUGUAGUGUAGCGGUGAAAUGCUUAGAUAUUACACAGAACACCGAUAGCGAAGGCAUAUUACUAACAAUUUAUUGACGCUGAUGGACGAAAGCGUGGGGAGCGAACAGGAUUAGAUACCCUGGUAGUCCACGCUGUAAACGAUGGAUACUAGCUGUUUGGAGUAAUCUGAGUGGCUAAGCGAAAGUGAUAAGUAUCCCACCUGGGGAGUACGCACGCAAGUGUGAAACUCAAAGGAAUUGACGGGGGCCCGCACAAG
rnacentral:rRNA from 1 species